rnacentral:rRNA from 1 species
GAUGAACGCUAGCUACAGGCUUAACACAUGCAAGUCGAGGGGCAUCAAGAAGAAAGCUUGCUUUCUUUGCCGGCGACCGGCGCACGGGUGAGUAACACGUAUCCAACCUGCCCUUUACUCGGGGAUAGCCUUUCGAAAGAAAGAUUAAUACCCGAUAGUAUAAUGAUUCCGCAUGGUUUCAUUAUUAAAGGAUUCCGGUAAAGGAUGGGGAUGCGUUCCAUUAGGUUGUUGGUGAGGUAACGGCUCACCAAGCCUUCGAUGGAUAGGGGUUCUGAGAGGAAGGUCCCCCACAUUGGAACUGAGACACGGUCCAAACUCCUACGGGAGGCAGCAGUGAGGAAUAUUGGUCAAUGGGCGCUAGCCUGAACCAGCCAGGUAGCGUGAAGGAUGAAGGCUCUAUGGGUCGUAAACUUCUUUUAUAUAAGAAUAAAGUGCAGUAUGUAUACUGUUUUGUAUGUAUUAUAUGAAUAAGGAUCGGCUAACUCCGUGCCAGCAGCCGCGGUAAUACGGAGGAUCCGAGCGUUAUCCGGAUUUAUUGGGUUUAAAGGGAGCGUAGGUGGACUGGUAAGUCAGUUGUGAAAGUUUGCGGCUCAACCGUAAAAUUGCAGUUGAUACUGUCAGUCUUGAGUACAGUAGAGGUGGGCGGAAUUUGUGGUGUAGCGGUGAAAUGCUUAGAUAUCACGAAGAACUCCGAUUGCGAAGGCAGCUCACUGGACUGCAACUGACACUGAUGCUCGAAAGUGUGGGUAUCAGACAGGAUUAGAUACCCUGGUAGUCCACACAGUAAACGAUGAAUACUCGCUGUUUGCGAUAUACAGUAAGCGGCCAAGCGAAAGCAUUAAGUAUUCCACCUGGGGAGUACGCCGGCAACGGUGAAACUCAAAGGAAUUGACGGGGGCCCGCACAAGCGGAGGAACAUGUGGUUUAAUUCGAUGAUACGCGAGGAACCUUACCCGGGCUUAAAUUGCAGUGGAAUGAUGUGGAAACAUGUCAGUGAGCAAUCACCGCUGUGAAGGUGCUGCAUGGUUGUCGUCAGCUCGUGCCGUGAGGUGUCGGCUUAAGUGCCAUAACGAGCGCAACCCUUAUCUUCAGUUACUAACAGGUCAUGCUGAGGACUCUGGAGAGACUGCCGUCGUAAGAUGUGAGGAAGGUGGGGAUGACGUCAAAUCAGCACGGCCCUUACGUCCGGGGCUACACACGUGUUACAAUGGGGGGUACAGAAGGCAGCUAGCGGGUGACCGUAUGCUAAUCCCAAAAUCCUCUCUCAGUUCGGAUCGAAGUCUGCAACCCGACUUCGUGAAGCUGGAUUCGCUAGUAAUCGCGCAUCAGCCACGGCGCGGUGAAUACGUUCCCGGGCCUUGCACA